rnacentral:rRNA from 1 species
UACGGAGGGUGCGAGCGUUGUCCGGAAUCAUUGGGCGUAAAGCGCGCGUAGGUGGCCAUUUAAGUCCGCUGUGAAAGUCAGAGGCUCAACCUUUGAAAGCCGGUGGAUACUGGAUGGCUAGAGUACGGAAGAGGCGAGUGGAAUUCCUGGUGUAGCGGUGGAAUGCGCAGAUAUCAGGAGGAACACCAAUAGCGAAGGCAGCUCGCUGGGACGUUACUGACACUAAGGCGCGAAAGCGUGGGGAGCGAACAGG